CUGCUGAAUUUAAGCAUAUCAAUAAGCGGAGGAAAAGAAACUAACAAGGAUUCCCCCAGUAACGGCGAGCGAAGCGGGAACAGCUCGAGCCUGAAAUCCCUGGCAGGUGCUGCCAGAGAAUUGUGGCCGGGAGAGGCGGCAUUGCCCUGACUGUCGCUGUCGAAGUUGACCUGGAAAGGCACGUCGGAGAGGGUGAGAGCCCCGUGCGCGACACCGACGGGAAGGGUGCUACCGUCUUCUGAGAGUCGGGUUGUUUGGGAAUGCAGCCCAAAGUGGGUGGUAAACUCCAUCUAAAGCUAAAUACCGGCACGAGACCGAUAGCGAACAAGUACCAUGAGGGAAAGGUGAAAAGUACUUUGAAAAGAGAGUCAAAAAGACCGCGAAACCGUUAGGAGGGAAACGAAUGCAGCUGAAGUGGCUCCGUAUCAGGUUCAGGGGACGUCGGAGGACGCUCUGGGCGUCGACGAAUGUUGUCGCCCUGAGAGGCCGCCGACUACUCUGCACUCCUGUUGGGAGCCGGCCAACAGCAGUUGCUUCUGGCCCAGAAGGUCGGUCGGGAGGUGCCCCUGCACCUCUGUAGGGAGCGUAUAGCCGUUCGUCCGGCGGUCCGGGAGCGACUGAGGAGAGACGUGAAUUUUCACGCUUGCAGCGCAGGCCCCUCGGGGCCGGGCCGCCUCUGUCCGUUUGGGUCCCGCGGCGGGGACUGCGUGCAGUGUCUGCUGACGGUUCGCCUGCUCGGUCGGGGGGUCGGCCACGCCUUGCGCUGGGGCUGUUGGUGCUCAAAUGGCUGCAUCCGACCCGUCUUGAAACACGA
rnacentral:rRNA from 1 species